ACGAACGCUGGCGGCGUGCUUAACACAUGCCAGUCGAACGGAAAGGCCCUGCUUUUGUGGGGUGCUCGAGUGGCGAACGGGUGAGUAACACGUGAGUAACCUGCCCUUGACUUUGGGAUAACUUCAGGAAACUGGGGCUAAUACCGGAUAGGAGCUCCUGCUGCAUGGUGGGGGUUGGAAAGUUUCGGCGGUUGGGGAUGGACUCGCGGCUUAUCAGCUUGUUGGUGGGGUAGUGGCUUACCAAGGCUUUGACGGGUAGCCGGCCUGAGAGGGUGACCGGCCACAUUGGGACUGAGAUACGGCCCAGACUCCUACGGGAGGCAGCAGUGGGGAAUAUUGCACAAUGGGCGGAAGCCUGAUGCAGCAACGCCGCGUGCGGGAUGACGGCCUUCGGGUGGUAAACCGCUUUCGCCUGUGACGAAGCGUGAGUGACGGUAAUGGGUAAAGAAGCACCGGCUAACUACGU
rnacentral:rRNA from 1 species